GCCAGGCAUGGUGGCGCACACCUGUAAUCCCAGCAGCUCAGGAGGCUGAGGUACGAGGAUUGCGAGUUCAUAGCCAGCCUCAGCAAUAGUGAAGCACUAAGCAACUCAGUGAGACCCUGUCUCCA
rnacentral:sRNA from 1 species